UUGGACCUGAUAUCAAA
rnacentral:rRNA from 1 species